rnacentral:rRNA from 1 species
ACGAACGCUGGCGGCGUGCCUAACACAUGCAAGUCGAACGCGAAAGUCCUUCGGGGCGAGCAGAGUGGCGCACGGGUGAGUAACGCGUGGAUAAUCUGCCCUGGUAUCUGGGAUAACAUCUCGAAAGGUGGAAACGAUAGCUAAUACCGAAUACGUCCACAAUGUCAUGAGGCGAUGUGGAGAAAGGGGGCUUCGGCUCCCACCUUUGGAUGGGCUCGCGGCUCAUUAGCUAGUUGGUGAGGUAAUGGCUCACCAAGGCCGAGAUGAGUAGCUGGUCUGAGAGGACGAUCAGCCACACUGGGACUGAGAUACGGCCCAGACUCCUACGGGAGGCAGCAGUGGGGAAUAUUGCGCAAUGGGGGAAACCCUGACGCAGCAACGCCGCGUGGGUGACGAAGGCCCUUGGGUCGUAAAGCCCUGUCAGUAGGGAAGAAUUCCUUGGUGGUUAACCCUCAAGGGAGCUGACGGUACCCACAAAGGAAGCACCGGCUAACUCCGUGCCAGCAGCCGCGGUAAUACGGAGGGUGCAAGCGUUGUUCGGAAUUAUUGGGCGUAAAGCGCGUGUAGGCGGUCUGUUAAGUCUGGUGUGAAAGCCCUGGGCUCAACCCAGGAAGUGCAUUGGAUACUGCAGACUUUGAGUAUGGGAGAGGAAAGCGGAAUUCCGAGUGUAGGAGUGAAAUCCGUAGAUAUUCGGAGGAACACCAGUGGCGAAGGCGGCUUUCUGGACCAAUACUGACGCUGAGACGCGAAAGCGUGGGGAGCAAACAGGAUUAGAUACCCUGGUAGUCCACGCCGUAAACGAUGGGUACUAGGUGUUGCGGGUAACCACUCCUGCAGUGCCGUAGCUAACGCGAUAAGUUGACCGCCUGGGGAGUACGGUCGCAAGAUUAAAACUCAAAUGAAUUGACGGGGGCCCGCACAAGCGGUGGAGCAUGUGGUUUAAUUCGACGCAACGCGAAGAACCUUACCUGGGCUUGACAUCCUCGCACCCCUUGGAAACUUGGGGGUCAGUUCGGCUGGAUCGGUGACAGGUGCUGCAUGGCUGUCGUCAGCUCGUGUCGUGAGAUGUUGGGUUAAGUCCCGCAACGAGCGCAACCCUUGUCCUUAGUUGCCAUCAUUAAGUUGGGCACUCUAAGGAGACUGCCGGUGUUAAACCGGAGGAAGGUGGGGAUGACGUCAAGUCCUCAUGGCCCUUAUGUCCAGGGCUACACACGUGCUACAAUGGCCGGUACAAAGGGACGCAAGACCGCGAGGUGGAGCUAAUCCCAAAAAGCCGGUCUCAGUUCGGAUUGGAGUCUGCAACUCGACUCCAUGAAGCUGGAAUCGCUAGUAAUCGUGGAUCAGCAUGCCACGGUGAAUACGUUCCCGGGCCUUGUACACACCGCCCGUCACACCACGGGAGUCUGUUGUACCCGAAGUGCGUGAGCUAACCCGCAAGGGAGGCAGCGUCCUAAGGAAUGGUCGGUGACUGGGGUGA